GGGAGAGGAGCCCAGCCCCAGAAUUCCCAGGUGUUUCUAUUCAGUGAUCAGCACUGAACACAGAGGACUCACCAUGGAGUUUGGGCUGAGCUGGGUUUUCCUUGUUGCUAUUUUUAAAGGUGUCCAGUGUGAGGUGCAGCUGGUGGAGUCUGGGGGAGGCUUGGUCCAGUCUGGGUGGUCCCUGAGACUCUCCUGUGUGGCCUCCGGAUCGACCUUCAGUGACUACUACAUGCACUGGGUCUGCCAGGCUCCAGGAAAGGGGCUGGAGUGGAUUGGACAAAUUAAUCCUAAUGGACGUAGCACAUACUUCACAGACUUCGUGAAGGGCCGAUUCACCAUCUCCAGAGACAACGCCAAGAACUCGCUGUAUCUGCAGAUGAAUAACCUGAAAACCGAGGACACGGCGGUGUAUUAUUGUGCUGGAGACACAGUGAGGGGAGGCCAGUGUGAGCCCGGACACAAACCUCCCUGCAGGGGCGCUGGGGGCCACUAG